UACAGAGGUCCCAAGCGUUGUUCGGAUUCACUGGGCGUAAAGGGUGCGUAGGUGGUGAGGUAAGUCGGAUGUGAAAGCUCGGAGCUCAACUCCGAAAUGGCAUUGGAAACUACCUUGCUCGAGGGUUGGAGGGGGGACUGGAAUGCUUGGUGUAGCAGUGAAAUGCGUAGAUAUCAAGCGGAACACCAGUGGCGAAGGCGAGUCCCUGGACAACUCCUGACACUGAGGCACGAAAGCCAGGGGAGCAAACGGG
rnacentral:rRNA from 1 species